CAAAACGAUAUCUGAGGCGCCAUUUUUAAAUCUGGGCCACACGCGUCCUCUGUGCACUCGGCCCUGUGUCUAGGCUGCUGCUCUCACCUCCCGCAUCUGUCCAUGAGUUUUUCUCUGAAGUUCUCUUUAAGGAAGCUAAAGAGCAGUCCAUGUCUUCAGAAAUACUGAUUCAAUUGAUGUUUGUUAUGAAGAACCUGACAGGAGAGAUCUCUCACAGAUGUCUCACACAUCCACAUACCUCAUCUUUCCUUGCUGGAGUAAGCAACUCAACACACUUCAUCUUGCCUUGU